GCUCUCACUGCUCAAUCCGAAAAACGGAAAAGGCCAGUAACCACUAGAAACGGGCAAGCCAGUUAGCCUGAGCCACGGUCCCCCGACCCAGUGGUGGCUUUUUUGUAGAUAAUGGUGGCACACGUGGGAGUCAUCUCUCUCGGCUCUUGCUUCCCUCCUCUCCCUCGUCUUCCUAGGCUCUAUUCCACCAAGCACAAGCCAUUUGCCGAGGCUGUAAUGAGUGAAGAUCCAGUGCGUGAAUGGAUUUUGUCAGAAGGAAAGGCAACCCAGAUAACAAAAAUCAGUCCCGUAGGCGGUGGCUGCAUCAGUCUUGCUAAUCGUUAUGAAAUGGAUGCAGGUUCUUUCUUUCUGAAAACAAACAGGUAGAGGGAACAGGUUCCGAACGCAGGGGUUCUCCACAUCGCACAGAUGCCCGUGGGCUAAUGGGUCGUGGGCUCAGAUGCUUAGGGCUGGACGUACGUGGGCUCGAGGCCCUUGGAGUGUAAAUCUUAAGUGGGCUCAAAGCCCGUGGCGGGGGAAUGAUCUUUCGAGGGCUCAGAGCCCGUGAAAAGAUCUGGGGAGUUUCGACGUCAUCUUUUUCUUUUUGUGAACUUGCUUUUUACUUUCUUUUUAAUUAUAUUUUCUGGAUGAUCUCUGUAAUUUGGUUUUUCAUCA